AUUGAACGCUGGCGGCAUGCCUAACACAUGCAAGUCGAACGAGUGGCGGAAGGGUGGUUACUGUAUGGGACACUUCCUGAUGGAGAGGGAUGACUACUGGAAACGGUAUCUACUACCGCCUACCAUCCGCUGUACCCAGAUGGGAUUAGCUAGUUGGUGGGGUAACGGCUCACCAAGGCCACGAUCCCUAGCUAGUCUGCGAGGAUGACCAGCCACACUGGAACUGAGACACGGUCCAGACUCCUACGGGAGGCAGCAGUGGGGAAUAUUGCACAAUGGGGGCAAGCCUGAUGCAGCCAUGCCGCGUGUAUGAAGAAGGCCUUCGGGUUGUAAAGUACUUUCAGCGGGGAGGCGUUACCCGCAGAAGAAGCACCGGCUAACUCCGUGCCAGCAGCCGCGGUAAUAC
rnacentral:rRNA from 1 species